rnacentral:lncRNA from 10 species
ACCUCCCAGACGCACUUCCAGGAGCGGCUGGGCAGGCUCCUGAGAGAGUGGAAAAACAGGCACCUGCAGGUGCUGAAGAGCUGCCUAAGUCCAAGAGAGACAGCUGCGAGGGCUCCAGGAAGAAACCCCCCAGUGUCUGAUUAAAAAAAACAACAAACUGAGCAAAUUAGGUGCAGAAGGAAUGUACCUCAACAUAAAAGUGUACAAAUUUCAGUUAUGCAAGAUAAGUAAGUUCUGGAGAGCUAUACAGCAUAGUACCCACAGAAAAUGUUACUAUAUUCUUAAAUUGUUUAAUUAAAAACUUUUAUUAUUAUUAUUUUUUUUUAGACAAAAAAAAGAAAACUGGACACUUGAAUAUAAUAAUGCAGUAACUCUGGAGAUGAGACUCUCCUCUUCCUCAGGGUUUGCUGUUUUGG